AUUGAACGCUGGCGGCAGGCCUAACACAUGCAAGUCGAACGGUAACAGGAAGAAGCUUGCUUCUUUGCUGACGAGUGGCGGACGGGUGAGUAAUGUCUGGGAAGCUGCCUGAUGGAGGGGGAUAACUACUGGAAACGGUAGCUAAUACCGCAUAACGUCGCAAGACCAAAGAGGGGGACCUUCGGGCCUCUUGCCAUCGGAUGUGCCCAGAUGGGAUUAGCUAGUAGGUGGGGUAACGGCUCACCUAGGCGACGAUCCCUAGCUGGUCUGGGAGGAUGACCAGCCACACUGGAACUGAGACACGGUCCAGACUCCUACGGGAGGCAGCAGUGGGGAAUAUUGCACAAUGGGGGCAAGCCUGAUGCAGCCAUGCCGCGUGUAUGAAGAAGGCCUUCGGGUUGUAAAGUACUUUCAGCGGGGAGGAAGGGAGUAAAGUUAAUACCUUUGCUCAUUGACGUUACCCGCAGAAGAAGCACCGGCUAACUCCGUGCCAGCCGCCGCAGUAA
rnacentral:rRNA from 1 species